GCGCGGGUGGUGAAACCCGGUAAACACGCUAGCUUGAGGUGCUAGUGCCGCAAGGCUUGGAGGUUCAACUCCUCUCCCGCGCACUA
rnacentral:tRNA from 3 species